rnacentral:ncRNA from 1 species
GGCUUCGCUCUUGCAAAGACCUGGGUAGCGGUGGCCAACGGCGGUCACCCCAAUCGACAAAGGCGUCAG